CUUCCUGGUACGGCAUACCGCUGCAGACCGGCUUACUCUCACCCCUGCUCUUUAAACAUAAAAAUAACCAUUGGAUUGGUGGAAAAUGACAAUACCCUGCUUGGACUGGUUGAAAGAGCCCCCUGUCUUCAAAUAUGGUCACUUCCGGGUUCAUGAAAACCAAGAUGGUGCCAGCCAGUAUCCUGAGCUCAAGGGUCUAAGAGGAGCGUAACCUUGGUGCCCAUUUAUCUUUCUUCUACAUACUCUUUACUGGAAAACAAAUUCUGCCCAUCAGACCGUCUAGAUCUGUUACACUAGAUGAUGCCUCUCUGGAUAUUUGACAAUGCCACAAGGAGGUCAGGGGAUAAGCACAGACUCUAUUAAGGUACUGUGCCUUUUUAUGACAUGAUUGAGCAAUACAGGAGGACUGAUUGUAUCUACAUUUACAAUAUAAUCAUACAGAAAGCAUCACUCAUACAUGGAAAAAAUAAAAAAUAUUAAUUUUCUUUUUUUUUUUGAUUGCUCUUCGGGGCCCCCUACUGGCCGUGGGGCCCUAAGCAGGGGCAUAGUUUACUUAUGCCUUGGGCCGGCUCUGCUCGGUAAUAUACUGUUUAAAAAAAAAAAGGUGAAGCAAUAUAGCAAAAAAAAUCCUUUAAUCUUAAAGUAAUUUGCACAUGACAUUCAUAUCCUUACAUAGUAUCUUUUUUCUUCCCACUCUGAGUGUAUCUUCAUUUCCGUACAGUGUAAAGUCAUUAUCACUCUGUCUUCUUCCUCUUCGAUUCUUCUCCCUUCACAGCUGGUUUUGAACUCCUCCAGGGCAGGAAGUUGUAGGAGACCAGAGCUGUAAGGAGGUACGUAGCCAUGCCUGUGUACCCCCCCAGCACCAGACACAGCGGCUGAGCCAACACGAACAGGCAGAACACAUUCAUGGACGCGUAAUCAUUCAGCUCCACCAGAUCAUCCUGAGUUGCUUUCAUCACCCCGAAAAAAUAAAUUAGAGCCACCGCUGGGUAGAAGGCCAGUUCCACCAUAAUGAGGACCGGAUACUGAGACGCAGUUGAAAACCUUCAGAUUUAACAUGAGCAUAUGUGUUGGAAGGUAGUUUGUGAGACCCAGUGAAGCACUGAAGCAGAUAUUUCCAAGACACACUCACCCAGAUCAGAUUCAUGCACACGCUUGGACAGUAAUCCCUCUGAAGUGUGAAGGUGGAUCUGACAGGAAAGCAGACACAGACCUUUGAUCCGUUUUAACAGCUCUGUCAAACAUUAUCUACCUCAUAUGCUCUUAUCAGAACACUUGACCAUUGAGCAUUCUUGAUUAAAGGUCUGCAUGCUAAUAAACCCUGUUUUCAUAGCACACUAGUGUGGCCUUCAAUCUUUGAAAACAUUCAUGAGUCAGUGUGAAAAUUGGCUUUUCAACAAUGUUUUCUGUUGGUACACCUUGAAUUUAAUAUUGCUACCUUAUCAUACGCUUGCAUCUGCAGAUAUAAGAGUUCUUGACAAAUGUGAGCAGGAGGCCAGGG
rnacentral:lncRNA from 1 species